AUUCCCAUGGCUUGCAGGUGACGACGACGUCGAGUUGGCGGCGGAGAAAGACUCGGCAUUCAGGCGAGCCGCCCGGUGGUGUGGUACGUAGUGGGUUUAGUACGCCCCGCCAAAACGGCUCCGAAAGAAAGAAAAAGGUGCGUGCCGCACUCACGAGGGACUGCCAGUGAUAUACUGGAGGAAGGUGGGGAUGACGUCAAGUCCGCAUGGCCCUUAUGGGCUGGGCCACACACGUGCUACAAUGGCAAUUACAAUGGGAAGCAAGGCUGUAAGGCGGAGCGAAUCCGGAAAGAUUGCCUCAGUUCGGAUUGUUCUCUGCAACUCGGGAACAUGAAGUUGGAAUCGCUAGUAAUCGCGGAUCAGCAUGCCGCGGUGAAUAUGUACCCGGGCCCUGUACACACCGCCCGUCACACCCUGGGAAUUGGUUUCGCCCAAAGCAUCGGACCAAUGAUCACCCAUGACUUCUGUGUACCACUAGUGCUACAAAGGCUUUUGGUGGUCUUAUUGGCGCAUACCACGGUGGGGUCUUCGACUGGGGUGAAGUCGUAACAAGGUAGCCGUAGGGGAACCUGUGGCUGGAUUGAAUCUGAAUCCUUUGGAAAAUCCCUCUUCCCCCAACCAACUAAGGGCAAGCACCUACUCCUAACAAAAUGAAAAGCAGCGAGCUCCGCAACAAAAGCGAAGCGAGCCGCGCUAGUAGCGUGUUUUUCAGCUUUCUUCAAAUCAUGACUAAUUAGGGGCGUCAGCCUAAACCUAACCUAAGUUGGGAAAAGCCCGGUGCUUUCUAAAAGCCUAAAUACAAUCAAACGUGAGCGCUAACAAGCAAGCAAGAAAACGGAUGCGCUAAGGUAGCUUGCUCUUUUCUAUGAAAAGGAGCAACGGCUUUCGCGCAAGUUGCAACAUCCGUUUCUUGUUGCUUUCGAGCCCAAGCCUACGCUUGCUUAGUAAGUAAGCUUGAGCUGCGCGAAAGGUUGCUUUUCUAAGAUAAGAAAUACAAGGCGCGUUAGCCUAUCUAUAGUGACGGGCCUUUUCUUGCUGGGCUUGAAUGCUUACCUUAUUAUUUUGAAAAGGGGAAAGAAAGGGGCAACCAGGAGGCUAGCUUGCUUCCACUGGCGGCGGGCGGGCGAAGGGUCAAGAGGACACGUAGCCGGGGGCGAGUCACAAAAUCCAAUAGUUCCAUUUUCCUUCUUGUUCAUCAAUCGGGAAACAAGACAAACCGGGCACUACGGUAAGACGUGAAAACACCCGAUCCCAUUCCGACCUCGAUAUGUGGAAUCGUCUUGCGCCAUAUGUACUGAGAUUGUUCGGGAGACAUGGUACAAGCCCGGGGUGAGGGUCUUGUCUUUGCUAAGAGAUGUUAGAAGGUGCAAGAAGUCGAGCCUUAUACCAUACCAUACCGCUCAUCUCUUGAAAAAAGAUCGCUAGCCUGACGUGACGGGCUUUAGCGAACAAGCAGGUCAAACCGGUUCUUAUUAGAAUCUCGUUGAUUGGGACGCUUAUCGUGAGUGGCAAAUCGGCCAUAGUGAAAGACUAGGUUUAGUUCGGCUUUCAACAUGCCAUUUAGCUACAUGGACGAAAACGGAUUCCCUGAAUAGGCCUUCUCUCGCACUAUUAUAGCUAAUAGUAAAAAUCUAAGAAUGAGACAUCGCGAAGGAGAACCAACAUCGUAUACGCUAAAGACAGCGAUUGACAUAGAAUAAUCCACCUUGUGAUCGGUUCGCAACUAUAGUGUGGAAGGUUAUCAGAAAGCCCUUACAAGAAUGCCACAUUAGGGUAGGGCCCUCUCUAAAUCUCAGAUCGGAUAAUCCGGUCUAGGUUGACCAAUUGAAAGAAGGGCUUUUUCUUACAAAUCUUAAACGGUUAGUUACAACAUUCCUUCAAAGGCCACCCGUCAGGGACGGAAUCACCAACCCCAUUGACAGGACUGCAUCAUGGCUCUAUUCCAUGCUAGUCUGACGGUUCCGGGCGUGGAAUCCGCUCUGUGACCCAUCAACAGAUCAGUGGGCUCCGCCAGCCUCCGACAAGUGGGUAAUUGGAAUUCGUAGCGUGAACCCAGGUUAGGAAUGCACCUCCCUCCCCUCCCAUAUCGGCCCCUACCUCUACCUAUAGGUUAGGUAGGACUUUUUGAUCUCUGCUUUGUGUCUUUCUUCACAUCAUUAACGUCGGUUCCGAACUUGCCCAUCGAGUGCCGCUAGUCUCCAUUACGCAACUGCACCAGGACCAGUUAUAGGUUUGGGUCAACAAUCUUAAUGAACCAAAGCGGGUUCGGGCUAACGUGAUUUGUCGGCUGGGUCAGGGAUGGAACAUGAAAUAGGGGUGAAGAUCGGCUCUUUUAGACCGGAUUCUGAUAUUGAAUGGCCUUUUUCUAGGGUUAGGUACUAGAGCCAUAGCCAUUGAUUCGCGCCCUUUUGUACUGGAAAAUUUCUCUUUUCAGAAAAGAUCUUUGCUAUGAAUUAAAAGUAUGGAAAGAAGAUUCUUCCAUUUUCUCUCUAGGAAUAGGAUAAUCUCAUAUUCAUCGAAUCCAAGGCAAAUUCUUUCUCCCGCGGUCGAAGAGAAUCUCUUCGACUAUUUCCGGCUAGUACUAUCGGGAACGCACACUCCUAAGCGUCGACUUCGGGCUUCACCUAAGUCCUUCUAGCUUCGCUUAGCAAGUCAAGUUAGACUCGUGAGGUCAGUGCCCAAGUCGCUAUAGAGUAUAGGACUUAUGUAGAUAUAAGAUAAUCCAUCCUUUUAGGAUGGGCUGACGGUUCCGUACUCCCUUCACUCUUUUAGUUUAGGGUGGGGAAGACUUCGUACCUUCCUUUACGUAGGCUAAGCUAGCGGAUCAGAGAGAGAAGCCUGAGUUCCAGCUCUUGGAAAAAGUUCAGUAAAGUCAGUAGAGCUAGUCCUUUUAUUUAUUUAAAAUAGCUAUUCUGAUCUAUCAAUUUAUAAGUAGUCAUUUAUAUAAAGCCAGGUACGAAUGGAGCUUAGUUGUUUUUCAUGCUUUCUUGCUAACCAUUGAUCAUUUAUGGUUGAAAUCGCAAACUCUUUAGAGUUUGGGAGAGAGACCUCCUACCUUUCCAAGUCAAGAUAGGGAAGUAAAGUAGAGUGGAGAAUCAUCCGAUACCGCUGCCUUCAUCCCAGCGCUGUCCUAAUAGCGAUAUGCUUAAGAGAGGGAAGUCGUGUUCGUAAACUCACCCUUACUUUUGGAACUUUAGUCUCUUUACCUUUCCCAGCUUAGAGGCAUGUAGCGAAGACUUAGUGACUCCCCAAGGCAUGAGUCAAAGAAAAUGCUAUAUGUAUCUAAUGCAAGACCCAUCGAUAAGCUAAGGCUACGACAUGAAGAAAGGCCAGAAGAACUACAGAACCACGCCCACCAGAGCUAAAGAAAGAUAGACCGAAGGGACUUGCGGUAAGCCGCCAUUUUGUGUACGUACCGUCCCUUCGCAGUUUCGGUGAGGAGGGAGGUGGUUACUAUUAUGCCUAGCGAAAAUAAGCCGGGCAGGAUUUGAAAGAAGACCUAAAAUAAAAAGCCUGCGUCUUCAAGUCACUCUUACAUAUACUUAUCAUACGAAUAAGAGAAGAGCACCUACACCUACGACUAAGAAGACAACAAGUUCAUCAUCAACCGGAAGACAGACACGAAAGAGACAGAGAUUAGUGAGCGGAGGUGAUAGACCCAAGAAAAAGAGGAGAGGCGGAGGGCAUACUCGAGAUCAGUGACUAUAGACCAGAAGCCACUAACUAUGGUUAUUAGUUGCCGAAGCUGAAGGCUCUGAAAGAGGCGACCAACGAAAAAGUGUACCAUUAGCUUCUUCUCUUCUGUCUGUUCUUCCUGCCUUUGACUACGAACCCAACAAAAAGUCAAGUGCAAGAACCAGAGCAGGAUUUCAAACCAGUUUCAGUUUUCCAGGCUCGACCUAUGGGUAAGAGCGUAGUCUACAAAGCGAAAGGUACUACGUUCCUCUCCUUUCAGUCGAUCGUACUUUGGUCGUUCAUCUGAUCUGUUUAAUGAAUAUCUCUUUCUUUCUUCUCCGGGGAGUAAGCAAAGCAUUCUGUCUUAGGAGAACCCUUACCCUUAGGCUGAGUAAGAAGUCUUGCCUUAGUAAGUGACGGUCUGGUAAGCAUGGGCAAGCCUGAGAUGCCUGUGUUUGCUUUCCAUAGAAAAUAUGCCUUCGGCUUGUGCUUUGGAGAGUCUGUCUCUUGUUUAGUACCCCCGAACUCCCUUUUCUUUUCACAUUCUCUUUGAUAGUUAGAAAAGAAAAAGCACGAGAAGGAAGAGAAGAAAAGUCAAAGUUGUAGGCCCUUUUUAAACAAAGAUUCAGCCGUGGUCUCGAAGAUGGCGCCCUUUCGUGGUCUCUUUUUCUAUUCUUUUUUUUUUUUCAAGCCGCAAUUGAAAUCCAUUUUCUUUCUAGUAAGCUAGGGCUUAGUAAGCAAAUCAAAGGAGUCGUCAAGCUGGGGCAAGUCAAGUUAGUUUUUAGCAGUCUCGUGAAGCAGUCUCAGCGAGGCGCUAGGUAAAAGGCAGCUAGGGCGUGAGUUUAGUUUCUUAGCACAGACAGAAAAGGUUAGGGCAGCUGGGGAAUUAGUUGAAGUUCAAGCAUCUCUUGUUUGUAAAAGGAUAAUCUCUUCCAGUCUAUCCAAUUGCAUAAGGACAUCCGGUUCUGGCAUCGAAUGGCUCUUUCUUUUUGGCUCUUCCAACUUUAGAGUUUCCUAAUUUAAGAAGUCCCUAAUCUAUUCUAUCAGUACUACUAGCGAGCUAACAUGCUAACAGUAGUUAAAAACUGGUCUUUCUCCAGCUCCCCUUUUUACCUAGCAUAAUAACUAACAGGCUUAGAAGACUAGCAGUUCUACUAAUAGGAUAAGAGUGAGUUGGAAAAGGCUAUUCUUCUCAUUCCUUCCCUUGAUCUGACAGUGCAGAGUAAGAAGGGCCUAAAGAACAUUACCAGUAAUCCGAGGCAAGCGCAUAAGAGAGCUAGCUUGUAUAAGAGUCAUAAGAGGACUAAGAAUAAGAAAGGUCCAACUCGUACUAAGGCUAUCGGUACUACUCUUCCAAAUUUCCUAACGUGGAAAAGGUAUCUACUAUGUUUACCCUUUCUAACAGAAAGACCAGCUCUCCCCUUAGUCUAAAUAGCUAGAUAAUCUCCCAGCCUUUAGUCAGGGGCAAGCUAGUUCUUUAGCAAAAUCAGUAGUCUUUCAAGCAAAGAGGGAUAGGAACUAGUUUGAGGUAUAGGUUCUCCCCGUGCUGGUACUAGAAAAAGUACUAGUGUAAAGUAGUAGGUUUGGUUACAGGAAUAAGGUAGGUUGGUUAUAGGAAACACUCUCUAGUAGUGGAGUUUCAAGCUCCUGUUUGUUUCGUUGCCUACCCUUAGGUAGUGCUUGAGCCUUAGUAUCGGGUUCUCCUUCCCGGCACUGGAUCAGUCACUAAGCGAAUGUGCAACUAUCAAACCAUCUGUUUUUCUAUUCGGUCUGUCUUCAGCAGGCCAACUAAUCUAAACUACUAAUCUACAAAACAACUAUUAGAAAAGAAGUUCCUCCCCGCUUCCAUAGCACAUAGCUAUUGAUCUCCUUACCCCAACCAGGUGCUACUCCGAUCUCGCCGCCAGUAAUGCUCGAUUCCCACCUCCCGCCUCUCCAUCCUAGCUUCAGAAAGAAUCUCACCCUUCUGCUGUCCCUGCCUCCAGCUCCAGGAACUCCUGCACCGUUCUGCGCCUUUUUGAAUGAAGCGCCUAGUUUCACCGCUUUCUUCUUACCCACGCGAGAUUGGUAUUCAGUCUGCCAAAACGAAACUAAAAAAGGGGUCUUUCUAAUUUCGUAUAUAAAUGUAAAUGUGGGUUGUCGGGUUUGGAUCGAAAUAGAAUCCCCAAAAACUGGGGCAUCCGUUUUCUACUUGUUCUGCUUCGAUAGAGGGGCUGUAAGUAGAAUAAGAAUCGUUCGCUCUUAUCCUUCCUUCGCUGCAGAUGGCGGAGCUACCACACGUUGAUUGGUGGAUUGAAUGAGAUUGAUGGGCACUAGCACAAGAGCCAUAGAUAAAUAGACAAAGAAGUUCAGCUGCCAGAGUCGAUCCUAUCCCGUAUUUACCAGCAAAAAAAUAGGGGAGUCAUCUGUCUAACGAGAAAGGAGGGGCGUCUAUCCUUCUAUAUGACCAAAAAGGCCUUGUCACGAACUGGGCUCGAACCAGCGCUUUCCAGAAACAUGGUCUGGAUGUCAACCUUUCUGAUCGUGACUUUGGUUACCCGGUUCCUCACGCUGCCCAUGAGUACGUCCGGGGGGAUUUCUCAUCAUCUUUUUUUCCCGUUUCACUCACUUCUUUUUCUUCCAAUUCAGAGAAGACUGAAGUGAAGAUUAGAAUACGAAUAAGAUAAAAAAGGCCAUCACCAAAAACCAGACGAUGGUAUAAAAAGUCAUGUAGAUGAUGGGGGAUCCCGGCGUAUUACGUCAUGGAUCCAGUGAGCGUUCAUGUCAGCAGAGUUCCACGCCUCGUUAGACAUAUAUUUCCGUAAAAAGCGGAGCAAGCCCCGGAUCCGCAUUUGCGGAUAUUAUAGGAAAACUCAUCUUCGGGCUCCCAAGAAAUGAAAAUGAGUUCUGCCCCGUACUUACCACAGAACCCCAUGCCACUACAAUAGCGCAAACAAUUUUAGAAGCUUCUCCAGAGCCUUACGAAUGUCUUUCCGAAGACGCACCUUUUCUGGGUCAUCGUCCUCCGGAGCACCAGACUGGGCGGGCCCUGGCCCGCGUGAAGUGGAGGCACCGUGCCAACCAUGUUUCCUUUCUGAAAUUUUUAUUUUUCAGUAAAAAGAUUAUUAAAAUAAUACCAAAUAAAAUGAAAAAACAAUCGGCAUGGUUCUGGGUGUAAAGCAGCUCGAUACGGAUAGUAGUAUCCAUUCUAGAUUGAAAAAACAAAGUAGGCAUCGCUCUUGACCUUGUCCUCUCCCCUUAUGCCCUAUCACUAGUGAUUACUCCCAAUCCAAAGCACCCCUUUUCCAUUCAUAGAGAAAUCCAAUCGUCAAAAUCAAUAAAAAGGCCAUCAUGGACCAAAAUCCAAACAGAUCAAUCUUGUUGAGAGAGACUGCCCAAGGAAAGAAAAAGGUUACUUCCAGAUCAAAGAUAAUAAAUAAAAUGGAAACAAGAUAAAAUCGUAUAUCGAAACGACUUCUGGCAUCACCGAAAGGGUCGAAACCACAUUCGUAGGCCGACAAUUUUUCUGGAUAGGUCGAACUAGGGGAAGCAAAUAGAAAAGGAAGACCGAGUAAGAUCAAAGAAACUAGCAGACUGAUCACUAAAUAGAUACAAAUAGGUGCAAAUUCUAACAUCACCACAGCCCACUGGGUUCAUUCGCUCUGCUCGUGGAGCGGAAUACCGGAAAAAAAAGAAAAAUCAUGAAAUAGGAAUUGCCUACCCGCUUUCCUUUCGGUCAGCUGCCCCGUGACCAACCUCACAGGUCCCACUCAAUCUUUUACACCGAUGUAUCGUACUCCCUCGACCAGGUCAUCAUAAGAAAGCAAAAUCUUUCCGAAAUGAGAGAAGGAGGGAAGGCGGGCUACAACUAACAUAAUAGCCAGCUGAGCUGAAAAAGGCUAGCUAGCUAGGCUAGCGCGCAAUGGCUUUCUCUGAUAGGGGCUCGCUUCUUCGACGCUCCGAACAACCUAUACGACGGCUCGCUUUCUCUCAGCCACAAGUGGCUUAAGUAGUGGUCGGCAUUCCUACGUGCUCCUCCGCCCCCCUACUUUUUAAUCCAAAAGGUGCCUUUGAAUGUUGUCGUGACGCUUUGGUUACGAAGGUUACGGGGGUCUGGGUUUAUGGAUGAAUUCAGUCAGCGAAAGUCCCUCAAACUCAAUCAAUAUCAACAACAUGUCGUGACGCUUGGUUGAUUUUGUCAGAAAAGUAGGUUUCGGGGGUUCAUUGAUUAGUACACCUCUGGUGCUGGUAAGGUCGGGAUCGUGGUCGUCCAUCUCCAGUUUGCCGGCCGAUAAGAUCUCUGAGAUUGACCAGACAGCUGACUUGGUUUGGCUAUUCCUUUCUAUUGAAAAAGAGUCAGCUGUCUGCGCGAGUCACCUUCUUCUAGGCUCCGCUGGACGACACGGCAUUCUCGUUCAAAUAUAGGCCGGCCGUCCUUGUGAUGGUUCCCAAGGAUCCAAUAUGAUACCACUUAGGUCUACGUUGCCACGAUAUUGUUCUAUGUAAGCGGGCGGGCUUGUUAGAAGUUCGGCCCGGUUUUUUUUGGUGUCGUAGGGGAGGGAUUGACCUUUCUAACGCAUAUUCAGUCGUACCGGCAUGGCCCCAUUGAUUUGUUUUCGAUCGGAGCAUAAAGCAGCGCAACCCGGUUCUACUUGACUAAGCCUCGUGCUCGUCCAAGGAGGGAGUUUGCUUUACCCAACUCCCUUUUUGAUAAUAAGGCAGAAACCCCCGACCGGACAUUCAUUAGUUUCGAAUGAAGAAUGAGGAGUGCCCUGCCCCAGAUAGCACCUACUCCUAACAAAAUGAAAAGCGUGACUUUACUAAACAAGCAAGAAUAGAAAGGGCUUUUCUCGCUUGUUGCUUUCUUCGAAUCGCAUGCUUGAGCGCAAGAAUACAUAUAAAAGCUUUCCUUGAGUUUUCAAUAAAAUAAGGGGCGCCCCAUCUAUAGUGACGGGGCCUCUUUCAAUAAAGCUCGCGCUAGGCGCUCUUUUUGGCUUCCCUUAAAUCGAAUAUUUUAGAAAUUGGUAAAGACCCACCCCUUGUUUCAGUCAGAAUGAGUCCCCGGGACCCCGGGACAUUGGCUUCCGCCAACAGUGGACUAUUAAGGAUCGCAUCCCGCGCAUAUUCUACAUUAUAGCCUGCAACUGAUUCAGCUUCCGCUUCUGGGAGAUCAAACGGAGCUCGAUUAGUUUCUGCUAGACAAGAAAUGAAGAACAUAACCAAUACAGGGAACAAGGGAAUACCAGACCAUAUCUGCUUUUGCGCCAUGACAAUCUCACUCGAAUUACGGGGACCCACACAUAUUAGUACAGUAAUAAGAAUAAGACCAAUAGAGACUUCAUAAGAGACCAUUUGAGCUGCAGAUCGUAAUGCUCCUAGAAAGGCAUAUUUCGAAUAUAGAGGAGUGAAAGUUCCCAACAAUCAACUAUCAUACCCUUCUAUGAACCGUACGAGCACGUCCUCUGAAACCCCCCAUCGCGCUUACGGCUCUAUACCCCAACGUGACUUGCUCUGGCCCCGGCCCGCUCCGCACCUCGGUAAGCGGACCGUGGGAGCAUGGGGGGCGGUAUCCGCUUUUGACUGAUAUAAAAUCUCUCUUUUGUCUCUUGCCAAAAAAAUCACAAUAGAAAAAGUUGUUCUUGCCGAGAAAGUCGCGUCGGAGACAUCUUUAUCUGAGGUUGGGUCCCCCUGCGUCGACCGGCUCCUCAGAUAAAGAUGUUAGGAUUGGCCGGCUCAUCUUCGGAAUCCGAAAAUAAAACAGAGACAGAACAGAUUGUUUCAGUGACAUAUAUACGAAGAUCUUUUUCCCCUGUUUGAGGCCUCGUACGAAUCAGUUACAUGGAAUCAUGCAAAGAGGCUUGAAAGCCGGUGAACUUGACUUAUCUUAUGCGUCAUUUUCAACUGAUCAUUCCUACCGAUCCAUUCUAUUCCUUGGCUCAUCAUAAGGAUAGCUACUUAUAAGAUAA